ensembl:lncRNA
CAUUUCGCCCCCUCUGAGCCCGUUUCCUCGCAGGUGGAGAGGGACUCGCCUAAGAGGCCCUCCCUGGCCCCCAACUGCUGCCAGCUGCGGCACACCCCAGAGGAAGGUCUCGGAGGAAUCCCUGUUUUGCUCCACUUCAUUGUUCAGCUUUAUCUCCUGAUCAAACAAGCGGCGGAUAACUGUCAGAGGCAGUUUCCUGGUUUCAAUUCGGAGUUCCGUAAAUCUAAUUCUCUCUUACAAAACUUAUGAUCCACAAGAACUGUCCCAAAUCAGAUGUAGGGAGUGUUUGACUCCCAUCCGCUCCUAUUUGUCACUUCGGGGAAAGAGCAGCACGUCAGAAAGUGGCUCAUGUUCAAGAAUCUGAAGUGUAACUCUCAUAGCAUAUCUUAUCUGGCAGACUAUGGUAUUGUGGAGAUAAAUGCGUUAAUGAUAUAGAACAGUAACUUCUUAGAUAAAAAUGCAACAGUGACGCCAUGUAAUGCUGUCAUUUUGGACCCAGAUUGACUCUAUCAAGUGGAUAUUAACUCUGUUUCCUGUCUUCAAUUUAAAGAUUGUAAAUACAAUUUGGGAGUCAAUAUAUAUUGGGAAGGUCUUCAUCCAACUUCAAAGAGAGUAUUCUUUGUCCUCAUAAACUUGUCUAAUUCCAGUUUCGUAAAUGAGGAGAACUAAAAUCAAUGGAUGAUGAUCUAUGUUCCUUCCACUUCAAAAAUUCUCCUUGAAAAUGAGCAGUAAAAUAAUUUAGCUUUGCUAGCUGCAUACCCUUGAUAGACUGCAGCAAUAGCAACAACUACAACAAUAAAAAAUUAUAAUACAGCCACCCUCCCCAAACACACUCAGGAUCAAGGGUGCACUGCUGUGUACUGCACACAACAAAUGAAAAGUCCUCAUAGCUUCUUGUUCUGAAGAAUUUGUUAAUACAGACAAGUAAUACUGACCAAGUCAAAGAAAUAACUAGACAAUCGAGGUACAAACACAAAUAUAUAAUUUUUAUAAUCCACUAAAUGUAUGCAAAUCUACAUGGAGAUUUGCUCCAGGGAGCUAUAAGUUCAACUAGGUGAGCUUGCACCUGGUUCCCUUCCUACCUGUUCUAUCUUGUGUUUCCUUUCCUGAGCAGGUGAUCAAAUUUCAAUCAGAAAAUGAGUAUAUCCAGCCUCCACCAUACCCUUAGGAGCUCUAGUUUGGGAAGAACUGAGUCCAGUGAAUGAAGCUCACUGACAGCUAGGGAAAUUUCUGCAUUUAAGAGAUCAACCAUUACCAAGAUUGGUCCAAGUCUGGCUAAAACAAGAGAUGUGAACCAGGGGUUGUUUGGACAGUGUAAAGCUGAGGUGAAAUGCAAAAAAACUAAUCAGAAAUGCCACAAACUUAUGGUCUGAUGAGUGUAAAAGUAAUAUUCAAACUUUACUUUUUGCACAAGCCUAUCUGAGACAGUUGCUAAUUCUGCAGGUAAUAUUGCUGAAAGAAGGAAAAGGCAAAAGGGAGGAUAUGGGGGAGGAGGGGAGAAAAAUUCAAAGGAGACAGAAUUUCAUCUUGCUUUUGAAAAUCUCUUCCCCAUCCAACUUCUCAGCCAUGUGGAUUUGCGUUUGUAUAGUGAUUUAAGAAAUAAUGACAAAAUUCUUGAGAGAUUUUUAAAAAGUGUACAAUAUUCCAUAUUAGGUUUGACAAAUAGGAUAGGUAGUAACAAAAUUUUGGCACAUUCUGGAUAAUCAUCUUCCUGAAGCCAUUUGGUGUAAUCAAAGGUGGUUCAAAUGUCAUAUGGUCUAAAUGGCACUCUCCCCAGAUUUUAACAAUAGUAAUAAUUUGUUAUUCCUGUUUUAAUUUUGUUUUUAUCAAAUGCACAUUUGUGAGUAUUCUGUGUUUAACAGUCCUUUUGUAUGUAUGUAUGUAUGAACCAUACCUGAUUCAUAUUAUAUAUUGAGUAUUUUUUAAAAUAUCUCCUUUUUAGGCCUUAGGCUAAAAUGAAGUUUAAGUUAAUAAUCAAAUAGUUAAAUAAUUUGCCCUCAGAGUGAGAUUUUAAUGAACCAAAAAAUAUGAGAAAAAGGAGCUUAACUCUUCUCAUUAGUAACAAUAAUAAACAUAUAUAUGUAAUAUGUAUAUAUUCUGUAUUAUGUAUAUAUGUAAUAUGUGCAUAUUACAUAUGUAUAUAUUACAUCUAUUAAAUGCUAGACACUAUGCCAAGUGCUUUACAUAUAUUAUCUUGUUUGAAGUCAGACUCCUCAUACUGAACUUGGACUGAACUUGGUCCAGAGGACUGACUUUCCUUAAUUAUCUGAUAGUUGGUGGACAGGACCCAAAUAAAAAGCCAGCCAGUCUGUCACUCAGUUCAAAAGUUUAGUCUGGAUCUUUUCCCCUUGCACUUCUUAGAACAGCAAGCUAAACAGGAGAGAGAGAAGGAUUUUUUUCUCUCCUCUCCAAACCCAAAAUGACAGUGCUUGUAACAGAAGCACUUGUCCAGUUAGAGUUUGUGAGAGGAAUCUAGUCCAGAGCUGAUAUCCUCAAGAGAGGGCAGUUCCCAGAGCUGAGAUUACUGAUUCUUUUGUUUGGGGUUGGUUUGUUUGAUUGUUGUUGUUUCCGGGGUUGGUUUGUUUGAUUGUUGUUGUUUCCGGGGAAAAUGCAUAGCUGACCCCUAGAACAGGAUUUCAGUGGAGCCCAAAGCUGGAGAAGGCAGUGACUACAACCAUGCGUUAGUCAUGUGUCCUGCACCUAAGUUAAUUCUGGGGGCCUGGUGGAACAACUCAUUCAACAAAGAUCUUGAACCUAGCAGGCGUGCUGCAAUGAAAUCUGGAGAUGUGAAAGGGAUAAUGACACCUGAGAUAUCAGUUGCCUUAGCCACAAGGACUACCUUCAUGGAUUCUAUUUAAUUUAUAAACUCCAUUGGGUUUCUAUUCUUUCCACUGAUGAUGCUGUGUGUACUUGUGGGAAAUUUGGGUCCCAGGUUUAUGGGCGAGAUGGUUAGUUGCUAUUUUUCUUAGAAUUCCAUUUCAGGAAAUGCCUUUGCUAUGGCUAAUUGUAUAGUCUGGCUUUUGAAGGGAAACAUAACUGAGGAUGGGUCAUUUUUUUUUUAGUUUUAGGAAUAUGGACCUACAGAGUACUUCCAAUUGGAAGGGGGGAAAUCCUUCCCCCAAAUACUCAAUAUGGAAAUUUGAUUUCAUGGGGAUAGUUCAAAGGGAUAUUCUAGAUUAAAUAGGAUUAUAAUAACUAACAUUAAUACAAUCUUUACUAUAUGCCAGAUAUUAUGCUAAAUGCUUUGCAAUUAUCUCAUUUGAUUCUCAUAAUAACCCUGAAAGAAAUGCUGUUAUCCAUUUUACAGAUGAGGAAACUGAGGCAAACAGACUUGCCCAUGGUCAUAUAGCUAGUUAGUAUCUGAGUCUGGAUUUGAACUCAGAUCUUCUUGCCUCCAGGUCGAGAACUCUUAUCUACUGCACUAUCUAGUUGCCUAAAGCAAAGUGCAGAAAGUUUCUGCACUUGGGUUUUGGAGGAAAAGUGAAAAAAGUUUUAAGUGUCAAAGGAGAAUUGUUGAAGGACCAGGACAAUAAGGGUAAAGGCCUGAAGCUAAAUCCAGAUUUGUGUAAAGGUUAAGAAUGAGAUGAUUUAUAGCACCUACACUAAUUCCUUUAGAAUUACUUUAGAGUAAACUCUUUAAACAAUAGACAAAAAGUAUUUAUGGAAGAUAGUGAUUAGAAGAUUAUGGACUCUUAGAUUUAGAGAUAGAAAAGGACUUUGGAAACCUUUCCAAAUAAAUCCCUCAAUUUAGAGAUGAAGAAUCUAAAUUCACUGAGAUAAAGUGACACCAAAAUGACACAGGUGGAGGCUGGAUUGUAUAGUAAUAUUAAUCUUUAAUUUGUAUAGUGCUUUCAAUUUUCAAAGCAUUUCAUGUAUAUAAGCUCAUUUCAGAUUUUCUUAGGAUAUUUCAUUUGAACCUUUUGUUCCUUUGACUUUAUCACAUGCUACUUCCCUAAACUAUUAUAGUGUUUCAUAAAUACAUAUGUUAAAUGAUAGACUAAUUAAUUGUAUCAUAUCAUCCACAUGUCAUAAAGGAAAGGCCAAUUGGGAGUAAAAAAGAUCUGAGUUCAGAUCUAGCCUCAAACUCUUACUAAUUGUAAGACCCUGGGCAAAUAUUUAACUUCUUUUUACCUCAGUUUUUUCACCUAUAAAACGGGAAUAAUAAAAACACCUAUUUUCCAGGGAUGUUAUGAGGAUUAAAUGAGACAAUACCUGUAAAGUGCUUAGCACAGUGUCUGGCUUAUAACAAGUGCUAUGUAAAUGCUGACUAUCAUUAUUAUUAUACUAAUAGAUAUGCCAAAUCCCUCCCUUCUUUUCCCCAUGGUAGUUUAUAUUUUUUCGCUUAACAAAAAUAUAUUAUCUUCCUCUCACUUCUCCCUCUUUUCCCCUGCCUAGUAGAUAAUAAGGUUUUUGAAGGCAAGGGUUUUUUUUUUUUUUUUCCCUUAUCCCCUAUUCUCAGUACCUAGCAAAGUUGGGGGGGGUGGGGUUGCAUGUAGUUGGUACUUUCUAUUUUUAAAAUUUAAUUGAUCUCUUCAACUUUGUGAAGUAAGCAAGUAGGUUUUAUUCUCAUUUUAUAUAUCAAGAAAUUGAGGGUAAGAUCAAUAAAAUAGUUGCCUUCUCCUCCCUCCCACCUUACAUAGCUAAUUAGCUGGCAGAAUUUGGAUUAGAAUCCAGGUCAUCUCUUAGUCUAUUUACCACCUAUGGAAAAUAUCAGUGCCAUAAAAAAUAACCUAGAAGGAAGACAGUCAACACAAUUAAGAUAAUGAAAACCAUACCGGUCAAGAUGGAGAGAUAGUGUGAUGAAACCAGACAAAGAACAAUAGGCGAGACCAGGAACAGUAGUAAUACAAGAGCACUUAUCCUGGUGCUGCUAGCAAUGGGACCUUGACAGCCUUUCUGAGCAUAUAGGAUCAGAGAUGCUGAGUUGGAAGAUACUUUAAAGCUCAUCUAGUAAAAUCAACUAGUGGGGUUCAAUGAUUUGCCUAAAGUCAUACAAAGGAAGAGAACAAGGGAAUACUUUAAGGCAGUAUAUGACAUGUAGGAGGUGCUUAAUAAAUGUUGACUGAUUGAACUAAUUCCUUUCACCCCAAAUCUAGUUCACUUUCCCUAGCACAUCCAAAUCUAAGCUUUCUAAAUACCAACCUCUUCUGUCCUGCUUCCUUAAAAGGGAACCAAACAAGAUAAUGUGGUAAUGCUUUAAAAGCCAUAAAGGCAGGGACAGCUGGUGGCACAUGCCUACAGUCCUGCCUAAUCUCAGGCUGGUGGGUCAUUUAAAUUCUGGAGUUUUGAGCUACAGAAAGCCUAAAGUUUACCAUAUCCCCACUAAAUCUGGCACCAAUAUGGUGAGCUCCCAGGAAAGGGGAUGCCAACAGACUGUGUAAGGAGGUCCAUUUUGGAAAAACUGAGCAGGCCAAAGCUGCUAUCCAAUCACUAGUAGUAAGGGGAGAGAUAGAGAUACAAAGUCUCAAAAAACAUUAUCUUUUUUGUUGUUUUAAAUUUUAUUUGAUUUUUUUCACUUAAAAAUCUAUUUUGUCUUCCUCCCACUUCUCUUCCCUCUCCUCUGCCUUGAAAAAAAAAAAAAGAAAGAAAAACAAAAGGAAGCUCUUGUAACAAAUAUGCACAGUCAAACAAAACAAAUUCCCAUAUUGACAAUGUCUAAAAAUAAAUGUCUCAAUCUGCACCCUGAGUCUAUCAACUCUGUCAGGAGGUGCUUCAUCAUUAGUGGUCUAGAAUUAUGGCAGAUCACUGCAUCGAUUAGACUUUUGAUCUUGGACCUUAUGGUGUGAGAUGUUCACCUAAACCUAGUUUUUGCCAGAUUGCUUUCCAGUUUGGGGUGAGGGUAUGUUAAGGGACAAGUCAAUUCUCCAAACACAGCUGUGGAUCAUAACAUCGGAAGGGUUUGCAAGGCAGCCUUUGCUGACACAGGUGUUGCAGACUGGGAAUGAUAUAAAUUGGAGGCAGAGGGAAGAGGAGAGAGGUCAGACAAUGCAACUGCUUCUGUCAAAUCAGACAACAGCAACUGCCUCUCAGUCUCCUUGUAUCAUCCUCUCACAAGAGGAGAUCCAUUCUGGGUUGAAUCUCCAGCAGACACUGACAGAUGGCUCCCAUGCAUUCCAAAUGUUAAGUGUCUUGAUUUGAACUCAGGUCCUCCUGAUUCCAGGGUGGGUGCGCUAUCCAUUGCCAUCUAACAGCUCUUCCAAUUUUCCCAGCUGCUUUUGGCCUUGACUCUUUGAGCUAACCAAAUGUUAUAAUACUGUGUUAAUUUGCUUCUGUAUGUUGUAUAUCUUAUUUGUUCUAUUAGCCAACCUCAACUUUUUUUUUAAGCAGUAACAAAUCAUUUUGCUGAAUACUAAAUAAAGCAUUAUUUCACAUAAAAGAUUUUUAUUAUUUUGGAGUGGAUAAAGUAGAUUCAGGAGAUGCUCUGUAAAAGAAAUAGUUCACUUUCCCCAGUUUUAAUAUUAUUAUGUAGGGUUUCUUGUGUAUUUUUUUUCCUGCUCUUUGUAUGAGAAUUUAAAGUUAAAAUACCUGAAACAAAAGCAUUAUUCUAUUCACAAUUCAAAUAUUGCAAAGUUUUCACUGACUCCCUUAGUUCCCUGCAUUGACUCACAUAGUUCCUCUGCAUUGAAUUGCCAACAUUUCAUUUCUGUAGAAGCCUGAGUUUUUGAUGCCCUAUUACAGAUGGUGAGGCCAACAGGUGAAGCUAAUGUGUUGUGAGUUUUCUAGGACAACUAGACCUUUGUGACAGUAUUGACAGCCUGAGGUUUCUAUUUGCCACUCACUAGUGUCUGCAUCUGAGCCCAAGGUUAACACUGGCUCUGCCCAGAAAUAUUUUGUGUUUUGGGUUGCUGAAUUCUUAUCCUUUAAGUACAAAAUUUAAUAUGCCACUUCCAUUCGGCCUUUCUUGCUUCUCUACAUCCAAUAAUGAUUUCUUGCUCUUCUGAACUCUGGGCAUUGUUUCCAGAAGCCAAACUCUUGUUUCUUACAAAGGCUAACUAAGAAUUGAGGAGUUGAACUUGUUAAUUAAAAUAAAAAGAGAAGUAGAUUUAGAAUCACAGAACUUUUGUUUAAAUUUUGGUUCUGCCAUUUGUAUAACUUUUGGGAUCUUUGGCAGGUUAUUUCCUCUUUCUUGGGCUGCCUUCUCUAUAGAAUGAAAAUCGUAUACUAAAAAGAUCUCUUCCCUCCGAACUCUAAUUCCCACAAAUUCCCAUUACUAAAUGCCUUAUUCUUGCCAUUUUAUUGUGCUAAGUGAGAUUAUCUACUAUAAAAGGACAAUGGUCUGAGUAUAACUCUGAGAAUUCAAAUAAUCAGAUAAUAAUUGAGUGGUACUAAAUGCCUCCUAAGGAUAUGUCAAAAAUCCAGAAUAUAUGGUUCUGGUGCUAGCUAUCAUGGGCAUGAAGAAAGAUGAAGGAACUUAUUCAUUUCAAUCUACUCAAGCCAACUUGGGAGAAUUCCCAUUUAAAAAGCAUGAGAAGGAUGUCUUUUGUGCUGGCAGUGUAAAGCUGUUGGUCUGAUUAACACAAAAGCUGAAAUAGCCUUAAGCAUGGACAAUAUUACAUUCCUUUUAAGGACAAAGAUUUUUUUUUAAAUUUUAUUUAUUUUUAACACGUAUUGCUUUAUGAAGCAUGUUGGGAGAGAAAAAUCAGAGCAAAAGGGAAAAACUCAUGGGAGAGAUUGAAAAAAGAAGUGAACAUAAUAGCAUAUGUUGAUUUACAUUGUUUCCUUAGUUCUUUUUCUGGAUGCAGAUGGCAUUUUCUGUCCAAAAUCUAUUGAGAUUGCUUUAUAUCGCUGAACCACUAAGAAGAACCUUUCAUAGUUGAUCAUCGAACGUUCUUGCUGUUACUGUGUACAAUGUAUUCCCGGCUCUGCUUGUUUCAACAUCAGUUCAUGUAAAUCUUUCCAGGCCUUUAUAAAAUCAGCUUAUUCAUUAUAGAACAAUAAUAUUCCAUUAUCUUCAUAUAGCACAAUUUGUGUAGCCAUUCUUCAAUCGAUGGGCAUCUACUCAUUUUCCAGUUCUUUGCUACCUCCUUUUAAAGACAAAGAUGCUGAAGCAGCUGGGGACCUAAAGAUAAGAACCAGCUACUGAAGCAAAAAGGAAUAGUAGCUACAUGGGCAAAGAGAGAAAUAGUAAAACACAGUUGGUGGCUGUAAGACACAGAGCCACAAGAGGUGUUCUAUACAGGAUAGUGUAAACAAUACAGGGAAUGUUUCCUUUCCCAUUGGUGGCAGAAAACCCAUGGGAGAUUAUAUAUCUUUUAGUAUGGGCUUUUUUCCCCUUUGUUAUUUAUUUUGGUAACAAUAAAAGUAUUGUUGUUGGAUUGAUGAUUAUUUAUCUAUUAGUAGAAAACUUGAGCCACAUUUCCAUAACUAUAAUUAUACCAUUGCACAACUUGGUAGGAAGUAACAAUGGGAAAGCUGGUAUCAGACCCACACUAAUUCUAUCAAUAUACAUAAUGAAUGCAAAAAUGGUGUUCUUUCUUUUUAUUAUUGCUUUCUUUAGUAUCAAAGUAGAAUGGCCAGUAGUCACCACUGGAGAAGGAGAGGGUGUAGAAGUGACAUAAAAUAUAAAAGAUUAAUAGUAUUUCAAAGUGAAACCCUCCCUUGAAAACCUAGAGAAACUUUUUUUUAUCAAGGGUGACUGAAUCAGGAAAAAAUUAUUAAGCACAGAUCCUGUUUCUGAGUAGGAGACCUUGUUUAGCCAUUAUUUGUUUUUGGAAGCAAAUCUUUGAUUUUUAUAGCUGAAUAUUUAUUUACAAGUAACAUAUUUCCUUUCUUUCAGGAUUCACUACCAGUAACAUUUGAGAAAUUAAGCUAAGUUCCUACCCACUUCAAACAACAUGAGGCUUCUCCUUUGACUUAGAAAAAAAAAACAGAGGGCCAGCCAAAGGACACAAUCCUAUGCUCCCAGCAAGUGGAAGGCUUCUGAUUUUUUGUUUUGUUGUGCAUGAGAUAAAAGUAAAUUCUAACCCAGGUUAGGGAACGCUGUAAAGGACAAUUUAUUAAACAUCUAUGUGUUUGUGUGCCUUUAAAAGAACAGAUCACAUUUAAAU